AACGAACGCUGGCGGCAUGCCUAACACAUGCAAGUCGAACGAGACCUUCGGGUCUAGUGGCGCACGGGUGCGUAACGCGUGGGAACCUGCCCUUAGGUUCGGAAUAACUCCCCGAAAGGGGUGCUAAUACCGGAUAAUGAUUUCGGACCAAAGAUUUAUCGCCUUUGGAUGGGCCCGCGUUGGAUUAGCUAGUUGGUAGGGUAAAAGCCUACCAAGGCGACGAUCCAUAGCUGGUCUGAGAGGAUGAUCAGCCACACUGGGACUGAGACACGGCCCAGACUCCUACGGGAGGCAGCAGUGGGGAAUAUUGGACAAUGGGCGAAAGCCUGAUCCAGCAAUGCCGCGUGAGUGAUGAAGGCCUUAGGGUUGUAAAGCUCUUUUACCCGGGAUGAUAAUGACAGUACCGGGAGAAUAAGUUCCGGCUAACUCCGUG
rnacentral:rRNA from 1 species